rnacentral:pre_miRNA from 1 species
UUUGUACUCCCUCUGUCCCAAAAUUCUUGUCUUAAAUUUGUCUAAAUACGGAUGUAUCUAGUACUAGAUACAUCUGUAUCUAGACAAAUGUAAGACAAGAAUUUUGGGACGGAGGGAAUACUAC